GAUGAACGCUGGCGGCGUGCUUAACACAUGCAAGUCGAACGAAGUGGCGAACGGGUGAGUAACGCGUAAUCAACCUGCCCUUCAGAGGGGGACAACAGUUGGAAACGACUGCUAAUACCUCAUACUGAAGGGGGGGAUUGCGUCUGUUUCGCUAGUUGGAGGGGUAACGGCCCACCAAGGCGAUGAUCAGUAGCCGGUCUGAGAGGAUGAACGGACACAGUGGGACUGAGACACGGCCCAGACUCCUACGGGAGGCAGCAGUGGGGAAUCUUCCGCAAUGGACGGGAGGCUGACGGAGCAACGCCGCGUGAGUGAUGACGGCCUUCGGGUUGUAAAGCUCUGUUAAUCGGGACGCGGUACCGGAAGAGAAAGCCACGGCUAACUACGGGCCAGCCGCCGCGGUAAUUC
rnacentral:rRNA from 1 species